UACGAAGGACCCGAGCGUUAUCCGGAUUUAUUGGGUUUAAAGGGUGCGUAGGCGGACACGCAAGUCAGUGGUGAAAUCUCCCAGCUUAACUGGGAAACCGCCAUUGAAACUAUGUGUCUUGAGUACAUUUGAGGCGGGCGGAAUGUGUCAUGUAGAGGUGAAAUUCUUAGAUAUGACACAGAACACCAAUUGCGAAGGCAGCUCGCUAAACUGUAACUGACGCUGAGGCACGAAAGCUAGGGGAGCAAACAGG
rnacentral:rRNA from 1 species